rnacentral:tRNA from 1 species
ACCUGGCUGGCUCAGUCAGUGGAGCAUGUGACUCUUGAUCUUGGGGUUGUGAGUUUGAGCCCCACGCUGGGUG